GACGAACGCUGGCGGCGUGCUUAACACAUGCAAGUCGAACGGAAAGGCCCUGCUUUUGUGGGGUGCUCGAGUGGCGAACGGGUGAGUAACACGUGAGUAACCUGCCCUUGACUUUGGGAUAACUUCAGGAAACUGGGGCUAAUACCGGAUAGGAGCUCCUGCUGCAUGGUGGGGGUUGGAAAGUUUCGGCGGUUGGGGAUGGACUCGCGGCUUAUCAGCUUGUUGGUGGGGUAGUGGCUUACCAAGGCUUUGACGGGUAGCCGGCCUGAGAGGGUGACCGGCCACAUUGCGACUGAGAUACGGCCCAGAGUGCUACGGGAGGCAGCAGGGGGGAAUAUUGCACAAUGGGCGGAAGCCUGAUGCAGCAGCGCCGCGUGCGGGAUGACGGCCUUCGGGUUGUAAACCGCUUUCGCCUGUGACGAAGCGUGAGUGACGGUAAUGGGUAAAGAAGCACCGGCUAACUACGUG
rnacentral:rRNA from 1 species